AUUUUUUUUUUCAUAUAAUGGUCUGACCGGCUGGCCCACGAAAGUAGUUCAUCAGCGGCCCUAUUGACACUGGGCUGGCCCAAUCACAUCCCCUGGGCUGACCCAACACCAACCCCUUUCGAUUUGGACCUGCCUACAUAAUGCAUUAGGACGGUAAACAAACUCAGCGUGGCCCAUGGCCUUGACAUUCUUGACACGCGCACGCUAGUCUGCGGCCCAUUGGCUGUCUUCUGUACUGACUAUGGGCUCUUCCAAUCAUAUCACAAAACACCUUCUACCUUUAGCUUGGUCGGUGCACAGAAACGCACGUUUCGUGAGAAUCCUCCAGUCCAAAAUGGAGAGAAAGAGAAAAGGGGGUGCAGAGAAACUGCGAGACAAGAAGAGGCUUGCUCUUCAAGCCAAUGCUGCCAAAUGUGGCAAAAUAUCAGAAAUGUUUGCCACGGCAGGGCCAUCCUCAGCUCCCGUGGAUGACAGUGAUGCUGGUGGCGAUACGAUACAACGACCUACGGUACACACCCAGUCGGAUGAACUCUACCCAUUACUGUGAUGGACGUGGAGUAUACUUUUUUUGUUAAUAAAUAACACCUUUUGGAAGUGUAUAA